rnacentral:rRNA from 1 species
CCAAUAGCGUAUAUUAAAGUUGUUGCAGUUAAAAAGCUCGUAGUUGAAUUUCGGGACCAAUAUGUCGGUCGUGCCUCGGUACGUACUGGCGUCAUUGGUUUCUCCCUUCUGAGGAUCCUUGAUGUCAUUAAUUUGGUGUCUUGGGGAAUCAGGACUGUUACCUUGAAAAAAUUUGAGUGUUUAAAGCAGGCAUACGCUUGAAUACAUUAGCAUGGAAUAAUGAAAUAGGACGUUCGAUUCUAUUUUGUUGGUUUCUAGGAUCGACGUAAUGAUUAAUAGGGAUAGUUGGGGGCAUUAGUAUUCAAUUGUCAGAGGUGAAAUUCUUGGAUUUAUUGAAGACUAACUACUGCGAAAGCAUUUGCCAAGGAUGUUUUCAUUAAUCAAGAACGAAAGUUAGGGGAUCGAAGACGAUCAGAUACCGUCGUAGUCUUAACCAUAAACUAUGCCGACUAGGGAUCGGAUGAUGUUAAUUUUUUAAUGACUCAUUCGGCGCCUUACG